rnacentral:rRNA from 1 species
GAUGAACGCUGGCGGCGUGCUUAACACAUGCAAGUCGAACGAUGAAGCUCAGCUUGCUGGGUGGAUUAGUGGCGAACGGGUGAGUAACACGUGAGUAACCUGCCCUUAACUCUGGGAUAAGCCUGGGAAACUAGGUCUAAUACCGGAUAGGAGCGUCCACCGCAUGGUGGGUGUUGGAAAGAUUUAUCGGUUUUGGAUGGACUCGCGGCCUAUCAGCUUGUUGGUGAGGUAAUGGCUCACCAAGGCGACGACGGGUAGCCGGCCUGAGAGGGUGACCGGCCACACUGGGACUGAGACACGGCCCAGACUCCUACGGGAGGCAGCAGUGGGGAAUAUUGCACAAUGGGCGAAAGCCUGAUGCAGCGACGCCGCGUAAGGGAUGACGGCCUUCGGGUUGUAAACCUCUUUCAGUAGGGAAGAAGCGAAAGUGACGGUACCUGCAGAAGAAGCACCGGCUAACUACGU